UAUUCUCAGGGCGGGGCGAAAUUCCCCACCGGCGGUAAAUCAGCGUGAGCUGAAAGCCCGCGAGCGCUUCCCGGCAACGGGAAGGUCAGCAGAUCCGGUGUAAUUCCGGGGCCGACGGUUAAAGUCCGGAUGGGAGAGGGUA
rnacentral:ncRNA from 1 species